ACCUACCUAUAAGACUGGGAUAACUUCGGGAAACCGGAGCUAAUACCGGAUAAUAUUUUGAACCGCAUGGUUCAAAAGUGAAAGACGGUCUUGCUGUCACUUAUAGAUGGAUCCGCGCUGCAUUAGCUAGUUGGUAAGGUAACGGCUUACCAAGGCAACGAUGCAUAGCCGACCUGAGAGGGUGAUCGGCCACACUGGAACUGAGACACGGUCCAGACUCCUACGGGAGGCAGCAGUAGGGAAUCUUCCGCAAUGGGCGAAAGCCUGACGGAGCAACGCCGCGUGAGUGAUGAAGGUCUUCGGAUCGUAAAACUCUGUUAUUAGGGAAGAACAUAUGUGUAAGUAACUGUGCACAUCUUGACGGUACCUAAUCAGAAAGCCACGGCUAACUACGUGCCAGCAGCCGCGGUAAUACGUAGGUGGCAAGCGUUAUCCGGAAUUA
rnacentral:rRNA from 1 species